rnacentral:rRNA from 1 species
GGAGGAAAAGAAACCAACAGGGAUUGCCUCAGUAACGGCGAGUGAAGCGGCAAAAGCUCAAAUUUGAAAUCCCCCGGGAAUUGUAAUUUGAAGAGAUUUGGGUCCGGCCGGCAGGGGUUAAGUCCACUGGAAAGUGGCGCCACAGAGGGUGACAGCCCCGUGAACCCCYUYAACGCCUUCAUCCCAGAUCUCCAAGAGUCGAGUUGUUUGGGAAUGCAGCUCUAAGUGGGUGGUAAAUUCCAUCUAAAGCUAAAUACCGGCGAGAGACCGAUAGCGAACAAGUACAGUGAUGGAAAGAUGAAAAGCACUUUGAAAAGAGAGUGAAAAAGUACGUGAAAUUGUUGAAAGGGAAGGGCUUGCAAGCAGACACUUAACUGGGCCAGCAUCGGGGCGGCGGGAAACAAAACCACCGGGGAAUGUACCUUUCGAGGAUUAUAWCCCCGGUCUCAAUUUCCUUGUUGCCCCGAGGCCUGCAAUCUAAGGAUGCUGGCGUAAUGGUUGCAAGUCGCCCGUCUU